CUGAAAUAGGUUGCCUGUGAGGUGUUCACUUUUCUAAGCGAUGAAUAUUAUACAGUCAACCUCUUUCCGAUAUCGAAUC
ensembl:miRNA